GGGUCGUUAGCUCAGGGGUAGAGCAUCGCCCUUUUAAGGCGAGUGUCGUUGGUUCGAGACCAACACGACCCA
rnacentral:tRNA from 1 species